GAUGAAGAACGUAGUGAAAUGCGAUAAGUAAUGUGAAUUGCAGAAUUCAGUGAAUCAUCGAAUCUUUGAACGCACAUUGCGCCCCCUGGUAUUCCGGGGGGCAUGCCUGUCCGAGCGUCAUUACAACCCUCAAGCUCAGCUUGGUGUUGGGCCCCGCCGCCCCGGCGGGCCCUAAAGUCAGUGGCGGUGCCGUCCGGCUCCGAGCGUAGUAAUUCUUCUCGCUCUGGAGGUCCGGUCGUGUGCUCGCCAGCAACCCCCAAUUUUUUUCAGGUUGACCUCGGAUCAGGUAGGGAUACCCGCUGAACUUAAGCAUAUCAAUAAGCGAAGGA
rnacentral:misc_RNA from 1 species